rfam:Gorilla gorilla gorilla genomic chromosome, chr6, whole genome shotgun sequence
GACCACGUGGCCUAGUGGAUAAGGCGUCUGACUUCGGAUCAGGAGAUUGAGGGUUCGAAUCUCUUCGUGGUUA